AUUCCUUUCUGUUGAUAAUAAUCACUAGCUCCCCUCCCCAGGCACUUCCUGACGGUUCAUGCAUUUCCUUCCCAAGAGACUUAAAUAGACACCAGCAGCCUGAGUGGCAUUAUGGACAACCCUUUCAGGAAGUAAGCAAGCAGCUGCUCUGAGUCCAUGAAGGAUACAGGUUUCAAUUUCAACAGGGACAACAUGGGUUUGACAUAAAUGGCAACUGUCUAAAUCUAGAAGUUUUUCUUAACUGGGUCUGAAAAGAGCAGUAGUGACUUGGUUCCAAGAUACCUGAUCAGCCAUGAAGAGAACAGAAGUCCUUGUUGAGAAGGCCAAGACAAUGUGAGUGAAUGAACAUGGAGACAUUGUGGAGACGGAAUUAAGAGAGUUAAAUGGUUAUCUAAGGGCCCCCCUGGGAUGCAGCUGCCCCCAGAACUUGUAAUGUGACUCUUCAGGAGGAAAGAGUGCUUCCAGUGGGCUGGAUACCUUUAAGGAAUAGCUCUAUUGGCCGGGACACAAAAUAAUCACUGCUGGAUCCCGCUCCUGUGUCCAGAUGGCCUGGCAGCACUGAGGAGUGGCCUGUUAGCUUCUAUUCGGUGAGUGUGGAUGAGCAUGUGAAAUUUACCACAAGACCAAAUAUGCAAAGAACUUGGCAAAAAUCCCCUGGUCUGCAGCUUCGUGUGUGCACUUGUGUAUGUGUGUGUGUGUAAGCUCUUCUCUCCCUCUCUAACACUGUUGCCCCUAGAGGUUCUGCGAAUGACAGGCUGAGUGAACAGGCCCCUUGCUGAGAUGGGACAACUGCCAGCUGGCCUGAGAUCCCGGGGGCCCCCGAGGCUGCUCCUGACACCUGGUCCCAUAUGGCAGCGCAUUCUUGGGGAUAGGAGCCAAGGGGGCCUCAGAACAACAGAAACACAUUCCUAGCUCUGUGGCCAGACUCACAGGAGGCAAGGAGAGGGCGGACAGCCUUGUCUGGGUGCUUUGAGAGAGGGCAUUUUCAUACAUGUCCUCAUAACAAGGUUGUGGGAGCCAGCCCUGAUUUCUUUAUUUCUCUGAGUCCUGCAUUCUUUUUGAUGAAAGGAGAAGACAAAGGAUACUUUCUAAAGUAUAUGUGAUCAUGCGAUAGUAAAAAUAAGCUUCUCAUCGAAUUUUAUAAUUUCUCCAGAUUCCUUCCCCAAAUCCACUAACCUUCCUUUCUGGACUCCCCAUCAUAAG
rnacentral:lncRNA from 1 species